GUCGGUAGCAGCACGCUACCAGCGGAAGUUGUGUACCAGAGCUAACGGGAGAAUAGUAAAACAAUAGCCGUGGAUGCAGAGUCUACGUUCCUGUUAUGGACUGUUUUACCCUGUGAUGAAGAGGUGAUGACAUAAAGCAGCAGCAAAACCUCCAUACUGAACAGAAGACAUCAGUGACCACAGAUAUAGAACAUUUCCUGUGGCCAGGCGACAGCAGCUGAAAUAUUAUGCCCUAUAUCAGAUCUGACAAUAUGCAUGGAAGCAUUUAAGCUUGAACUGAACCUUGAGGCAGACUGGCUACAGCAGCAGCAGCAGACCACAUCAGGACUUCUGUGAGCUAAGAACAAGAAAC
ensembl:lncRNA